UGUUAGUGGAAGCGUCUGGAAAGGCGUGCGAUACAGGGUGACAGCCCCGUACACAAAAAUGCACAUACUGUGAGCUCGAUGAGUAGGGCGGGACACGUGGUAUCCUGUCUGAAUAUGGGGGGACCAUCCUCCAAGGCUAAAUACUCCUGACUGACCGAUAGUGAACCAGUACCGUGAGGGAAAGGCGAAAAGAACCCCGGCGAGGGGAGUGAAAAAGAACCUGAAACCGUGUACGUACAAGCAGUGGGAGCCUCUUAAUGGGGUGACUGCGUACCUUUUGUAUAAUGGGUCAGCGACUUAUAUUCUGUAGCAAGGUUAACCGAAUAGGGGAGCCGAAGGGAAACCGAGUCUUAACUGGGCGUUAAGUUGCAGGGUAUAGACCCGAAACCCGGUGAUCUAGCCAUGGGCAGGUUGAAGGUUGGGUAACACUAACUGGAGGACCGAACCGACUAAUGUUGAAAAAUUAGCGGAUGACUUGUGGCUGGGGGUGAAAGGCCAAUCAAACCGGGAGAUAGCUGGUUCUCCCCGAAAGCUAUUUAGGUAGCGCCUCGUGAAUUCAUCUCCGGGGGUAGAGCACUGUUUCGGCAAGGGGGUCAUCCCGACUUACCAACCCGAUGCAAACUGCGAAUACCGGAGAAUGUUAUCACGGGAGACACACGGCGGGUGCUAACGUCCGUCGUGAAGAGGGAAACAACCCAGACCGCCAGCUAAGGUCCCAAAGUCAUGGUUAAGUGGGAAACGAUGUGGGAAGGCCCAGACAGCCAGGAUGUUGGCUUAGAAGCAGCCAUCAUUUAAAGAAAGCGUAAUAGCUCACUGGUCGAGUCGGCCUGCGCGGAAGAUGUAACGGGGCUAAACCAUG
rnacentral:rRNA from 1 species